rnacentral:lncRNA from 1 species
GCGGCAUCUGUGCCGAGGGAUCCGCCCGCACCUGUUGCUCCUGUAGCACCACCUCCUGCGGUGGCGGCAGCACCGGUGACGGCUAUUCCUUCGACGGCAUCGGGUUCAUCGGCCCCUAUUCCCGAUGUACUUGAGGCCGAGCAGGAGCGAUCGUUGACGGCGCUGACGGCGUUCAAGCGAUUCAACCCUCCGACCUUCAACAGCGAUGUGAAGGAUCCUUGGUUGGUGGAGUCGUG